GACGAACCGGACAAACGUUAUUCGGAAUUACUGGGCUUAAAGGGUUUGUAGGCGGCCUUGUAAGUCAGGUGUGAAAUCCCUCGGCUCAACCGAGGAAUAGCGCUUGAUACUGCAAGGCUUGAGGGAGACAGGGGUAAGCGGAACUGAUGGUGGAGCGGUGAAAUGCGUUGAUAUCAUCAGGAACACCGGCGGCGAAAGCGGCUUACUGGGUCUCUUCUGACGCUGAGGAACGAAAGCUAGGGGAGCGAACGGG
rnacentral:rRNA from 1 species